UAACAGAGGAAGGCGAGUCACUCACCGUGGUCUUGACAGGCACGUAGAGCACUUGCUUGGCGCCGCCGCCUCCCCCGCGGACCUCGUCCGGCUGGCCCAGCUGGAAGCCCUUCGAUUUGACCCAGAAUUUAAAUUUGGCGUUGUCCGUGGAGCUCGACUCGGAGCCAUUGAGGAGCUGGACGAUCCGCUCGUAUUUUUUACGGGUCACCGUCUUGGUCUUGCCUGAGUCCCCAGCUGUAAAUAGGGGAGUUCCCAUCGUCCUCACGCGGCGGCUGCGGCCGCUCCUCUUUAUUCUACUCUCAGCCGAGGCCCGCGCCCGUCCCGGGGAGCGGCUCUGACAGGAAAACGGCCCGACCAGCGCCCGGCCCCUGGGCUGCGUCCGAGCCCACCUUCUUCCCUCGUCGUCGUCUCCUAGACUAAAGCUCCGAAAGGGAGCGCGGGAUGUUUGCGCCCACCACGCUGCAGCUGGUCAGGGCACUUGCAAAAUGGUCAGUGGCUCCUGCUCGGCCAGGCUGAGGGUGUGCGUGUGUGUGAGCAAGGGAGCCGAGGGUGUGCGGCGUGCAGGGGGUGCGCUGUGUGUGCGCGCGUCUCCGGGAAGGUCUCGCGGCGGCUGGAGCCGGGACUGACAGCCCGGGCGGAGCGCAGGCAGCUCCACACACUAAACCUCUCGCCUCUCCCCUCACCCCCACCCCUCCCACUCCCCUCUCCUCCCCCCACCUUUCCCGGCCCCUUCCAAGCUCUCUGAUUGGCCAAUGGGACAAAAGUUUCUGUGGAGACGGCUGGGCGCUGACGUCACGGGCAGAAUUGUCCCAUUUAGGGAUCCCGGGGGCAGUGCGCAUGCUGCAGGCUGCAGGUUAGAGGCAGGAGGAGGUAGCAGCGGGCCCGGCGGCAGCCAGGUGGCAGAAAGGAGCGCGCAGCAUCCAGGUGGGGGGACGACUCCAGCAGGGUUUCCAUGGAGAUUCCUCUGGGUCUAGCCUAAAAACAGCAGAUCAGCUGACACCAUUAGCUCAGGACCUAAUUACUGCUUAUUGGAGCAACAAAUGAGGGAAAGGGCCAGCUGCAAAGGAAGAGUUUUUAUCCCCCCACCCCAUUCCCCCAUCUCCUCCUUUCUCUCCCUCUCUCCAAGGCUCUUGAGUCCCGAGUGAAUUCUCAUUAACUUGCAAGAUUCCUGCAACAACAGCUCCCCUUCUCCAGAGGCCACCCCGACUGCUUUUAUUCUUUUAUUUCCUUCUUUUGUAUUAAAAAAAAAAUGCUAAAAUAAAUCAGUAGUUCUGAGUCCUUGAAUUUUUAUUCAAUGCAUAUUAGACCAUAGAGCUCAGAGAAAACACUGUCCAGUAAGUCACAAGUGAAUCUAAUACAAGGGACACAGGGGAAAAAUAUCACUUUGAAUUUAUUGAGUUGAACAAUAAUCUUUAGAUAUUUCACAUUUUUUAAAUCUCAGUAUCUUAAAUACAUGUAUGUAUUUGGAACACGCAAUUGGACAGAAGAAUAUUUUGAAGCACCCUUCUAGAGGAGUAUACUUCACAGGAACAACUCUGUUAAGUUUCCCUUUGUGGCAUCAGAGUUCAGUUUAGUUAUAUUUUGGUCAUGUGUUUCCUGGAAGUUUCUGGAAAGAUAGUUGGUCCUGGGGUAGUCAUUCAUUCAAGAAUAGCUGGUUCUAUAGAUUUCACUUUCUUUUAUGGUUAUAGUUCACAAUUAUAGAAUUCUUUUCGGUAGCUUUUUAUCUGAAAAGGCAUCCCACCGCCUCUCAGCUUUACUCAUGCACCUCCAAAAACUUUCCUUCCUUAACCAUUCAACUUGAAAUCAUCUGACUUUCUUCUAUACUCCUCUGUAUAGUGUCUUUCAAACAUUUUUUUAACCCUGUCUUGUAGUAUGGCCUACACUUUACAUUGGCAUGUAGUACAUACAUAUAUUUGUCCUGCAAAAAUUUUAUGAAAACAUCUAUUUUAUUACCUACAGUAUACACUAAUAUUUGUAUUUUGCCCUCCUAUUUAUUUGUUAUUUUCUGGUAAAUAUGGUCCCAACCAAAUAAAUUUAUUUUAUGACCCAGCAAAGAAUGACUGGCAACCUACAAUUCGAAAAAUAUUGUUUUAGAUCAUAAAAACUACAGUGUUUCUUCUACCUUAUUUAUAUUUUCAUGUGAGUAUGUUUUGUUGUUCAAAUAAAAUCUUAAUUGGAAGACCCUU